GGUCGAUUAGAUCAGUUGGUUAGAUCGUGGUGCUAAUAACUCGUUAACGCCAAGGUGAGCAAUAAACAAUCACAAUCUCAUGAAUAUUGUCUAACAGAAAUAGGCCAUGGGUUCGAGCCCCAUAUUGACCA